GCGAAGGAAGGCUGGGCUCACCAGGUCCCUCCGGGCUGGACGGCGCCGGGGGCCGGUGGGGCGGGGAUCCGCACCCGGGGUCCCCCUGGGCGGGCUCCCUCAGCCACAAAGGAUACUACCUGCUCCAGACCGUACAGCUACUAGAUGGGGACGCCAUCUGCAACAACCUGGAUGCCUGAGAAACCUUGUGGAUCAGAACUCCUCCCCCUCAACCUCAGCCUGUGUUUCCUGGAAACAGAUGAGCAUGGAGACCUGAAUUUAUUAAAGAUGGCAAAGCCACAGCUCGAAAGAACCUGGGUCCCUGAAUCCAUCCUUAGAGGGGAGCCACACACACCACUCAAGAACAUUUUGGACUUGAACGUGAAAUA